AUCUUAAAUUUACUAGUAGUAUCUUCUCCUACCCAUAAGUUAUUAAUUCUCAACCUCAGAUAUCUUCAUUUAUGUUAGGAUUUUAAAUUAGCAGCUUCUAUGAUUUAAGUCAAUCUAAGUGCAGUGAGAUGUGCCAUUGUGAAAAAUAAUUAGCACAAUUACCCACUGUAGAUAGUUAGGCUUAUAGUCUCCCAUAGUUGAGAUUGUAAGCAAACAUGUAUCAGCAUAAUAGCAUGAAUGCUUUGCAGAAAAAAAAAAGUGUCUGACUUUAUUUUAUUUUGCGCUAGCUUGGAAAAUGAUUGAGAUCAAGUUCUUUAACAAAGAAGGUCAAUUUUAUUCUGUAUGAGCAAUAUGAUUCAAAUAAGUUAUACAAAACAACUUUUAUUUUUUCUGCAAGCUUAGAUAAUAUUCCAUUUUUUGGUUUUCUCUUUAAAAAGAGGAUUUAGAUGUGCAAUAAUGCAAAUAUCAGUAGCUUAAUUUAAUAUUGCACGAUAUGCUAAUAGACAAUUAGACAAUUUGGGGUAACAAAUCAUAGCAGACGUGAUCUAUAGAGUAACUCAG
rnacentral:lncRNA from 1 species